CUUUCUCUGUCUCAAAAAAAUGUCGAUAUUUUCCUUGAGUAAUACCGCUCCAAGGAACGGUUUGAAGGGAAAGACUCAAUGAAGCCUCCUCAUAAUCCAGGAUGGCAAAUUCUGGCUGAAAACAAUUCAGGACAACAGGAUGCGGACAAGACCAAACAAAUGGAGACAGUUACUUUUUACAAGCUCCUCCUUUGUUAGUUUACUGAUAUAGUUUGGAUGAUCAUUGAAACUAUUGCAACUAUCGGCAAUGGAUUGUCCCUGCCCAUUAUGACGAUUCUUUUUGGAGAAUGGACCGACUCCUUCAGACAAAAUCAAAAUAACAAAGAUGUGCUUGCGGUUUCAUUGAAAUUUGUCUACUUAGCUUUGGGAUGUUAGGCAGCUGCAUUUCUUUAGGUCCCUUGUUGGAUGAUCUCUGGUGAAAGACAGCCUUCUCGAAUAAGGAGUCUAUCUGAAAACUAUUUUGCAGCAAGAUUUAGCUUUCUGUGAUAAGGAAACCAAUAUGGGAGAGGUGGUGGGGCGCAUGUCUGGUGACGCUGUUCUUAAACAAGACGCAAUGGGCGAGUAGGGAAAUUUGUACAGCUGAUAUCAACGUUCUUUGCGGGCUUUGUCAUUGCAUUUACUAAAGGCUGGCUUCUCACACUUGUUAAGUUAUCCAUCAUUCCUCUACUUGUCAUCUUUGCUGGAGUGAUGUCCCUCAUCCUAUCUAGGAUGGAGUCCCGUGGAUAAGAUGCUUAUGCCAAAGCAACAACGGUGGUUGAACAGACAAUUGGCUCCUUUAAAAUGGCUGCAUCUUUUACAGGGGAGAAGCAAGUUGUGGCCAGCUAUAACGAGUCCCUAAUUAAAGAUUACCAUUCAGGUUCAAAUGAAGGGCUGGCAAGUGGAUUAGGUCUUGGGUCACAUUUUGCUAUUAUGUACUCCAGCUAUGCGAUGGCUAUCUGGUACGGUGCAAGGUUCAUCUUGGAAAAAAGAUAUAUUGGUGGUCAAGUUCUCAAUGUUUCCGACGCGAAGCUUCUCCAUUAAGUAGCAAGGGAUUUACUUUUUAAGGGAGAGUUUUCUGCAAAAAGGUGUGAUGCUGGUGGCGAAUUGGCGAUGCAUGAGAGGAAUGUUGAAGCCACAGGAACUUUCUGUUUAGACGACUUUUGCUGCAGGAUGUAGAACUCCCGAAAAUUGGAGAAGUGUAAGAGCAAUGGGGGCAGUUAGGCUUGUUUUCAAUUUGAAGCUGAAGUGCCAGAAAACAAUACUACAAGAAAGGCUCUAUGCCUAUUCCUAACUUCUGAUGUAAGUGCUUAAAAGUUGAAACUGAAGAAAGUUGAAGAGAAGUGGAACCCCUAUUCUUCACGGCUCAGAUCGUUUACUUAUGUAUUUGAACAUUUGGAGAAGAGCGUGAAAGUGACAUGCAAGAAGGAAUAAAUAAGAAUAAAACUGGAAAUAAACCUGUUUUCUCUUUCAGUUUGAUAGUGAGAUUUCAUUUAGUUUGUACCAUAGUGCUAUGUUUUUUUUUAAAUGAGAAUACAUAAAGGUAUGAUUAGCACUCCCUAAAUCAGCACCACUUUUUUAAGGGUCACCAAUUGGUUUGAUCUAUGCUAUCUUUGUUUAUCUCGUUAAGUAUAUAUUGACUUUAAGGAAGUUUUAUGUUGUGCUUGAUUGGUGGGACAUCACAACUGAUAUCUUCUUCUCACUUGGGAAAAACUUGGUCCAUAUAGUUGUAUGCAACCAAUGUCCUAAAUGAAACUUACAAGAUGACUGAUUUAUUACUCCAAAAUAGCGUUUUUAGUUUACUCUUCUAAAAUCUUCGUUCUUUUAAAGUGCAUCUCCGUUCUUCAGGUUGUGUGUACAGAAGGACCUGAGAAAAUUAGAGAACUGGGUGUUUCGUUCGUUCGAUCAUGUGGAGGAUGGCAAUCUGCAUCUAGCUCGAGAAGGGGGCCACUCCCAUCAUCGAAUUGUCUAUGCUGUCGAUAUGAUAGGCAGAGAGAUGGAACGGGCCCUAUUAGAGGCAGUUGUUAAGGAUUUGAACACCAUUUUGCUAUAGUUUUUUCACUCAAGAGAUUUUGCAUAUUUUUUUUCUAAAAUAAAAUUGAGUUUUUAUACAUGUUCCAGGAAUUUGCAAGGAUGAGGUAUAUUGGAAUGGUUUUCCCUUAAUGCAUUGAUAGGCAACAACUCUUCAGUUGCAUCUGCAUUAUGAAAGUCGGGUUCUUGAUUAGCUUUGGUAGCUCUUCAUUUGUAUUUUUCCAUUGCAAGAUGAAUUUAUUGCAACUUGUGUGAGUAUAGUGUUAUAAAUUAUUGUUUUUUGACCAAAGGCAAAUUAAUGAAUAGAAAUUGCACGUGUUUGUUCACUUGAUAA